UACGUAGGGCGCAAGCGUUGUCCGGAAUUAUUGGGCGUAAAGAGCUCGUAGGCGGUUUGUCGCGUCUGCUGUGAAAACCUAAGGCUCAACCUUGGGCUUGCAGUGGGUACGGGCAGACUAGAGUGCGGUAGGGGUGACUGGAAUUCCUGGUGUAGCGGUGAAAUGCGCAGAUAUCAGGAGGAACACCGGUGGCGAAGGCGGUU
rnacentral:rRNA from 1 species